rnacentral:pre_miRNA from 1 species
UUAACCCAUUUAACAACUCAACCCAUCAAAUUAAAUGAGUUAUGGGUUGACCCAACCCAUUUUGUUAAAUGGGUUGGGUCAACCCAUAACUCAUUUAACCCUAAACUCAUUUGAUUAUGAGU